rnacentral:rRNA from 1 species
AGCGCGCGUAGGUGGUUUGUUAAGUUGGACUGUGAAAUCCCCGGGCUCAACCUGGGAACUGCAUUCAAAACUGACUGACUAGAGUAUGGGUAGAGGGUGGUGGAAUUUCCUGUGUAGCGGUGAAAUGCGUAGAUAUAGGAAGGAACACCAGUGGCGAAGGCGACCACCUGGACUGAUACUGACACUGAGGUGCGAAAGCGUGGGGAGCAAACAGGAUUAGAUACCCUAGU